GCUUCCUAUUGCCUCUGAGUCAAGAUGAUGUAAGACUCUCAGCUCCAGCACCAUGUCUGCCUGCACACCACCAUGUUCUCACCGUGAUGACAAUGGGCUGAAUCUCUGAAACUGGUACCCCAGGGUUAUAUCAACAAAAGCCCUCCAUAGUGAACCAGGAGCUUCUCUUCUGGGGUGCUUCCACCAGAGAAAGCCUUCCCACAUGGUGACCCUAAAAUCUGGAUGUCUCUUGGCUACAAUGCAUCAGCCAGACAGAGGAGGGCCUGCCACACACAGAAUACCUGCUCUGACAGCCAGGAUCCAUUAUACACUUCCCUCCACCAGACAUCCUUGGCUGAUCUUCCUGCAGGUUUGUCAUUAACUGUAGGCAGAGCCUGGAAUGGAUAAUCCUGAGGAUCUCACCAGUUGUUUUUCCUUAGAGAACCCUAACGCCUGAUUUGACAGACUUUACAAUCACAAAGGCACCUGGAUUCAGAAGACUUUUAGGACCUUCCUCAAGUGGAGGCCAUUCAAUUUCUGAGCAAGACGGAGCUUCUCAUCUUGGCAAAAAGCCCCCUAUGGAGUGGCCAUUGAGCUAAUAACAGAAUAAUAAGGGACUUCUCAACCACGAGAAGACAAAUUGGAUGUGGCAUCUGUGGUAAAUGAAAUUGGAAAGCACACCGAGGUCUUGGUUGAAAACCUUCAGACCACAGCUGUGUGUCUACACAUAAGCUACUGGGGAAGACAGAGAUGCAGGGAUAAACCCAGCAUCGUGUUGCCGAUUCCAGUGAAUGUUGAGGACUGGAGUAGAAUGUCAUGCUUUGUUCAUGCUCUAACGGUUAAUCAAAUGUGCCUAGCAAAAUGCUGGGUCCAGGAGAGAAUGUGAGACCAAUAUAAGAAGCUCAGAGUCUGUAACACAUUCACCCAAUAAAUACUUCAGCAGAAGUCUGACCCAACAGACACUCUAGCAGAAGUCUGACCCAACAGACACUCCAGCAGAAGUCUGACCCAACAGACACUUCAGCAGAAGUCUGAGACAGCUACCUGAAGCAGUAAGACGUGCAAUCCAAGAACCCAAGGAAGCUCAGGGGUGGGGGUCUCUUUGGAGGAAGCAAUGCCUGCUGACCCUUAAAGAACAGGCAGAAUUUAGAUAACUGAGAUGAAGAUGGAAGCUAAGUGCUUAUGCCAUGAAUCUGGGAAUGACCAGAGCUGCUUCAUGGAGGUCGCACAGCAAAGCUCUUGGCACAAAGUUGAACAAGUAGGAUAUACGGAGACUGCUAUUGAUGGUAUUUCACCCACUUUGACUGCUGUCACCAAUUCUAGUUCAUGUUUCUUUUGCUACUUUUUACAAAGGCAACAUGAACUAAGGGGACAUACUUAAGAAGCAGUAAAUAGGGCACAUUUUUGGCAUUUUACCUUAGAAUUAUGUGGAAUUAAGGCUAGCAAGGGUUUGACUUGUGCUCAAAGGCAAGCCACCAAACAAAGUUCCACUAAGAUUAAGCAGGAUUGCAAAGGCUUCUCCCCUGAGUUUUAUUAUCUGAAAAUUUGUGCUUUAUCAAUGCAUGUGUUUUUCACAAUGAAGCUGAAUCCUGAAUGCUCCCGGUUUUCAAUGGAUGUAAUUCCUUUCUGUUUCUCUUUGUAUACUGGCCACAAGCUUAACUACAGGAACUCAACAGAGGAUGCAAUUCUCCACUGUCUAGUGAUAAAGACAUCUCUGGGACAGAGGAUGUAACAGUAGUGGAGAGCCAGGGUGCAGGGAUUUGUUUGUAUACUCACAACACCCCUCAGGCAGCAACCUGUUGCAAAUAUCACUGCCACCAACUCAUCAAAGAAUUUGUUUCUCACUAAUGUUCACUGAGAAGACACAGCAAAGACAAAGUUGUCCUCGCUGCCUUCCACUCUCUCUCUGCCUCCGCCACUGCCCCUAGGUGGGUGAGCCUAAGGUGCCAAAACAGCAGAAAAAUAACAGCAGCAACCUGGAGUCAGGCCUAAAAGUAGCAGCUAUCAUCCAGAGAACCCUGUCUGCUUGCUCCAGUGGAGAUAUGAAGAGUUUUCACACUGCACCCUUUCUGUUUUGACCUGUCUGUGUUUGGGGACACAGGCCACCACAGCCACACCUGUGGCAGAACUUCAGCAGCCAUUCUUACUGCCUGAUUUCCCCCCACAGAUGUGGACCUCAAAGCACCAAGGAGAUUCGUUCUGGAUUCACUCAGAAUAUGCAGUGAGAAGAGGACAAACCAACUCCCCCUCCAUGUUCAGGCUUUAACUGAGGCUGGGAGAAUUUUAGUAAUUUUCUCAAUUUCACAUAGACCCUUGGACAUUUUGAUUCUGAACCUGGAACUCUGCUUCUAUGGUUCUGCUGUGAGCUCACAUGGAAAAUUGAUAUCAGGGCAGAUAAUGUUGUUUCCUGUUGCCGAAAAGAAAUUAAUUGUGUCACUGGUUAAAGAGACGUGGGAGGAAGCUGGGCUUCAAAGGCAUCCAUCAUACAAUUCAUGCAGAAAUAUCAUGAAAUUCAUUGUUUCUGUAGAUUUGAUACACUUAUCCUUUAAUCUAGAUCCUAAGCUGUGUUAAGCAAUAUGGUUUUCUUCAAAGAAAAUAAGUCAUUGGAAUAUACUUUUCUUUGAGGUUGGUGAGCAGAGCUCUUAUGCAAAAGGGCUGACUCUUCUUAGGCUUGUGUGAUGAUGGUAUUUAGCAGAGCAGCCUCCAUCUUCAGCUUCCAAUGAGGACCCAUCUGUGACUGCCCCUGGGCUGGAUGUCCAGGCAAUAGCUUAGAGAACUUCUGUGUAGCAACAUGUGCUGGAGGGGUGUGUUACUGAGCAGUGCAGCAGGCUGUCCCAUGAGGCUGCAGAGACUGUUACUGUGCAGUGCAGCAGACUGUCCCAUGAGGCUGCAGAGACUGUUACAGAGCAGUGCAGCAGGCUGUCCCAUGAGGCUGCAGAGACUGUUACAGAGCAGUGCAGCAGGCUGUCCCAUGAGGCUGCAGAGACUCUGAUAAUAAAAGAGGUGUCAGUUCUCAGGCUUAGUGUACCGCUAUGAGAAAGUAAGACCACAUAAUGGAAAAAGCUGAAACAAGUCUCAUGUCAGGAGUGCCCAUAUUCAGCAGAAAGGACACCACAUGGUGUGUUCCAGGCAUCAGAUAUCCCAGGGGCAGCUAACUCCUACCCUCCACACUGUUCCUCAAUGCUUAUAAUUGAUAGCUUUUGAAUAGGAAAAGACUGGAGGCAGAGGUGUAAUUACACAUACUAGGAAUAGUGAGUUUACUUAUAAAAAUAAGUAGUCUGAAAGAAAAGAACUAAAACAUUUUGAAUAGGGAGAAACAAUAAUGAGCUAAAAGGGAGAUAAAAACUCUCAGAAGACAUAAACAGUUAUAGAGUUAUGAGAAGAACAAGAGAAAAACGAUUAAGGAAUCCUCCCAGUAGGAAAAAAUUGUGACUAUCUGGAUAAUGAGUCCCAGUGGGCAAGAAAAAAAAUAAUUGGAAGGACUUAGGAAAAUAUUUGUGAAAGAAUUUGAUUUUUGCAUUCAUAAGAUGUGUCUAAAUUUGGAUUGUAAAACCUUAGCCAUAUCUAACAAAAGAGGUGAAAUAUGUAUGAAACCCUGUUGAAAAGAAUGGAUGAGGUGUAAGAAGAUAAAGAUUUAUCACUUUGGGGUGGGGUGAUUUGGUAUUAUUAAGGUUAAAUUCUAGCCCAGUUAUUUGAAUUUGAUGAAAUUGAAGUCACAAGCAAGCUUUCCAGGAGAAGUUGAUGAAACGAUACAAAAUUUAUGUACAAAAGCAACACAACACAUCUAAACUCUCCACAAGACUUAUAAAAUGAAGAACAUGGAUGGAAAGCUUAAGGUACUUCAAGGUUUUCUUAGAAAGCUAUGAAAGCCAAGAUAAUGCUGAUGACAUAGGAUGGGCAGACAGUUCAUUAGAACAAAACACCAGGAAAUAAAGCCUCAUCUAUGUAAGCAUCUGAA